UGUUCUGAUCUUUUUGAUUAUGAACCACUUGUAUUUAACACCUCCCUUGCUACAGUUUUUAAUUUUCUGUAUGUGUUUGUGUAUUUUGGGAACAUAUGCAGCGUGUUUUGUCUUGAGUUUGAUUAUCCAAUCAUUGAAAAUAUUAUCAGUGUGAUACUGUCCGCCGUGUCCACCGUGGCCACCACAAUAUUUUAAUGAAAACAUGUGGCAAAAAACUAAAGCUGUUUUUGGUGUCA
rnacentral:lncRNA from 1 species